AUGAACGCUGGCGGCGUGCCUCAUACAUUCAAGUCGAGCGAACAGACGAGGAGCUUGCUCCUCUGACGUUAGCGGCGGACGGGUGAGUAACACGUGGAUAACCUACCUAUAAGACUGGGAUAACUUCGGGAAACCGGAGCUAAUACCGGAUAAUAUAUUGAACCGCAUGGUUCAAUAGUGAAAGACGGUUUUGCUGUCACUUAUAGAUGGAUCCGCGCCGCAUUAGCUAGUUGGUAAGGUAACGGCUUACCAAGGCAACGAUGCGUAGCCGACCUGAGAGGGUGAUCGGCCACACUGGAACUGAGACACGGUCCAGACUCCUACGGGAGGCAGCAGUAGGGAAUCUUCCGCAAUGGGCGAAAGCUUGACGGAGCAACGCCGCGUGAGUGAUGAAGGUCUUCGGAUCGUAAAACUCUGUUAUUAGGGAAGAACAAAUGUGUAAGUAACUAUGCACGUCUUGACGGUACCUAAUCAGAAAGCCACGGCUAACUACGUG
rnacentral:rRNA from 1 species